AAACCUUAAUUAAAUAAUUUAAUACCUUUAAAUUUGCAAUUUAAUAUCAUAU
rnacentral:tRNA from 1 species